CUUGUGCUUUUUAUGUUUGCUUUUUUAUUAGUUUUUUAUAAUAUUUGACUUUUAUUUUUUAUGGUUUUAUUAUAUUUUCAUAUGAUUUAUCUUUUUUCUAAUCUUGCAGUAUAUUUCUUUAGGUUUCAUUGGAUUUUUUAGCCUUCACCCAAGACUUUGUGGGAUCUACACAGUUAUUUAGUAUUCCGUACAGUUUUCUGUACAUGCUGAAAUUCCUUUACCGAGGCUUCCGCAUUAGAGUCCAUUGGCUGACUGACGGGUGAAAUGUGCGCAAGCCGAAGUGAGCGUCGGACGAAAAAUAUCGCGGCCGAGUGCAUGCCAGCCGAUAAGUGUCACCGCCGGAAAACUUUGGCCGAAAUAAACGUAGCCGAAAGGAAAACGGACGAAGUGAUCGGUAGCCAGAAUGCGGCUAAGGAUGGGAUAAUGAUGAUGAGGAGUAUAAGUAAGAACUUAGCUGCCCCGGGAACCUGUAAGGAGAGCGAGUAACACUACCGAGUCCAACUGUACGACACUACGACCGGCCUGCACUAAGUGGAACACCUUGUUGCUAGGACAGCAACAAACACGGCAAUUUCUGAAAUGGAGACUGAGAAUGAUAAUUUAAUAAACCAUGAGGACGUGCGCUAUAUCUGCCCAAAACAGCUGUUGCAUUUCCUCUGACUACCGCUAAACUGAAACGCUGUCUCAAAAAAGCUGAGACUGAGGCUCCCAUGUCAUGGAUUUUGCGGCCGACGAAACGGAUUACCUCGGCGAAAGGCAUUCCAAAUGUCCCAAUCGUCUCGACGGCCAGAGGAUCAAAAAGAUAUCCUAAAACCUCGACGAAAGCGUAUUUCCGGCGCUUGAGGCGUCUGCCGGAAAUCCUUAACAAACCCGUAGAUGAUCUCUGAAAAUCGUAGUGGAUGAUGUCAUCGUAUAAGUGGUAAUAAUAACGGCUUCGUACGCCUGAAAGGAAAUUUUUCGUCUUUGUGAAUAUUUCCCACCUGAACAAUGGAUACGGCUGUCCGGAGCCGCAGGAAAAUUUAGCCACCGCCUUGCUUGUAUUAAAGUUUCGCCACGGUUCCGGCUGUCUUCGAGCUGGCGCUCACGUGCACACGGCAACAGUGUCCCAGUAUGUAGCAUCCCACACGAAUGCCUUACCAUCGCGCACGGGAAUCAAGGUCAUCCCAUCCGGCAGUUUAUUAUCCUUAUCCGACAGGCCAAUUUUGACCUGGACGAUAAUCCAUAGAUAAUAUAGUGGUGUGUCGCUCUUAUCCAUUUCUUCUUUCCUUUGCAAAUAUGUCGAUGAAACGGUCAAUUCGAAGAAUUUGUCAAGAAUUCGACCCUGAUAAUCCGACCAGCAGUGGACUAACUGGAGCAGGUCAUGUGCGGUGGCACCGAGACAUUCGCCGAGGACAGCUGGUCGCAGAACAUUUGGUCGGAGUCACUUCGGCGCAAGGUCAUCCCGCCGCGGUACACCUCAUCCGUAUACGUUUAUUCGUUCCGGUAUUUGGGCGCAAGACAUUUUCCGAGAGGCCCUUUGGACGCCGAGACAUCUCGCCGCGAAGCAAAGUGUCCAACGUGACAGCGCACAUACAUCCCUUGGCGAAAUGUCAUCGCGGCGAAAAGCCGUGGGUCGACUUUGACUGCCGCUAAAUGUCACAAUCCAGUUGUCCGGGUGCGGGAGCGGCGUACCUCUACUGUACAUUUUCGUCGCUGGACGCAACAGGCCUGCACACAAUUUUGUCGGAUUAGGAGACCUGCGCUGCGCUUCGAUCAAGCAUGUCAAUAAUCGCGAUGAUGCGUCAAUAUCACCAGGUUUGUGAAGACAGUGCCAUGGACGGUACCCUGCUGUGCGCUGCACUGAACUGGAGUCUGCUGUAGUUAACACCUCAUCGUCGAACGCAUCCAGCGGAAUGCAAAAUAUUGCCAGGCAACCGAACAACAGAAAUUAAUAUCAGUAUCACCCUAAGUCGUAUCCGUAUCAAAGGCGGGCCCCUUCGUACGUCUACCAGAGGUAUUUCAGUUUUCAUCGUGACUUCCAUGCGUGAUAUUGGAUCACUGUUCGCUGCUGUAAACGGACGAUGUUCAUUGGUGCCUGUACGAAGACAGCGAAUUCAGUGCCAUAAUUAGUAAUCCGGUCCGAAGUUGCGAUCUGAUGUAAAUAUAGUGCGUAUCAAAUACGGGAAUCAUUGAAACGUACACGCCACUCCGUACGGUCGCCGCCGCAAACUGGCCUGACGGGUAUUGCAGUCGCGGCUUCAACUCAGUGGUCCCUGGUUUCAGCCCAUUUCAGCCCGAUGUAUACUGGGCAGGGCGCCAUCCGAAGCAGACCGUGAAACAUCGGAAAAAUGCACCGAUGAGGGAAUCUAACCGCGGCUACGUCAUAAGAUCUGCGUAGGCAGUACCACUAUACCACGGCGCAAUAUGUUGAAGACUGCGGCUACGCUAACUGGAUUCUUCGGCAACGUCCGUAAAGGAGCAGGGGUAGUUUGUGAAACGGCAACACGCAUCCGUGAGGACCACUACCGAUCACAGGGACUGGGAAACUGGGCUGCGUAUAUUCGCUCCAGUCGACUGAUGGCGUCAGAAGCAGUUUGGCUGUACAAGGUCCGCAACCGUUACAAAAGCAGGAUACUAUGUGCAUCAGUGCAUAAAUUGUUCCCAUUCAACCGCAACGCCGGAUAUGUUGGGAAAGAACGGAUCAACACCAUCACGCAGUCCGGCAGUCAUACACUGGAAAGACGACCGUGGUAAUGGCAACUAAAAUUUUUAUUUGAUUAAAUCGGGUUGGGUGUAGUGAAUGUUUAAUGUUUUACAUGAAGUUCUGUUAAAAAUGUACUGAUCUAAAACUUCUGUGAAUAACUUAAUUGUUCUAAGCUAUUCCCUUAUUUUAUUCUACUUUUUUAUUUUACUUCUUGUGUGAAUGAACGACUUGGUUGUUCUUAGCUCUUCCCCCAUUUUAAUCUACUUUCGACUCCCACCUUUUUCCGAAAGGUUUUGAACCUGAAACAUUUUUGGUUUUAAGGCGUUGAUA